rnacentral:sRNA from 1 species
UAUUAAGCCUGAUUGGAACGGAAAGCCCGCAAUCCGAUCCUUUAUCGGAUGAGGACUUGAAGAGUAAAGCAGGGCAGGAG